UACGAAGGGGGGCUAGCGUUGCUCGGAAUCACUGGGCGUAAAGGGUGCGUAGGCGGGUCUUUAAGUCAGGGGGUGAAAUCCUGGAGCUCAACUCCAGAACUGCCUUUGAUACUGAAGAUCUUGAGUUCGGGAGAGGUGAGUGGAACUGCGAGUGUAGAGGUGAAAUUCGUAGAUAUUCGCAAGAACACCAGUGGCGAAGGCGGGCUC
rnacentral:rRNA from 1 species